rnacentral:rRNA from 1 species
AGUGAACGCUGGCGGUAGGCCUAACACAUGCAAGUCGAACGGCAGCACAGUAAGAGCUUGCUCUUACGGGUGGCGAGUGGCGGACGGGUGAGGAAUACAUCGGAAUCUACUUUUUCGUGGGGGAUAACGUAGGGAAACUUACGCUAAUACCGCAUACGACCUACGGGUGAAAGCAGGGGAUCUUCGGACCUUGCGCGAUUGAAUGAGCCGAUGUCGGUUUAGUUAGUUGGCGGGGUAAAGGCCCACCAAGGCGACGAUCCGUAGCUGGUCUGAGAGGAUGAUCAGCCACACUGGAACUGAGACACGGUCCAGACUCCUACGGGAGGCAGCAGUGGGGAAUAUUGGACAAUGGGCGCAAGCCUGAUCCAGCCAUACCGCGUGGGUGAAGAAGGCCUUCGGGUUGUAAAGCCCUUUUGUUGGGAAAGAAAAGCAGCAGGUUAAUACCCCGCUGUUCUGACGGUACCCAAAGAAUAAGCACCGGCUAACUUCGUG